rnacentral:misc_RNA from 1 species
GAUGAAGAACGCAGCGAAAUGCGAUAAGUAGUGUGAAUUGCAGAAUUCAGUGAAUCAUCGAAUCUUUGAACGCACAUUGCGGCCAUAGGUAUUCCUUUGGCCAUGCCUGUUCGAGCGUCAUUUACACCCUCAAGCCUAGCUUGGUGUUGGGCGCCUGUCCCGCCGUUUUCGCGCGCGGACUCGCCUCAAAGUCAUUGGCGGCGGUCGUGCCGGCCCCCUCGCGCAGCACAUUUGCGCUUCUAGGAGGCCCGGCGGAUCCGCGCUCCAGCAAGACCUUUCACGACUUGACCUCGGAUCAGGUAGGGAUACCCGCUGAACUUAAGCAUAUCAAUAAGCGGAGGA